UAUACCCAACUAGCCGAAUUUUCUGUUGGUUUAAAAAUACCAUACAUGUCUGCAAAAAUGUACCAUUCAUUUCAGUCAGUUCUCCAAGAUGAUAUUAAAGGUACAGCUUGGUCAGAAAUGAAAGCGGCAGGAGAUGAAGAAAGAAAAUAUGCUAUAGAAUCGGGUUCUAUUGAUAAUAACGGUAUACCACUUAUUACAGUUGUUGCGGACGCUCAGUGGUCCAAGAGGAGCUAUAAAACAAAAUACGACGCUUUUUCCGGAGUGGCAAGUAUAAUUGGAUACAAACAAAAAAAAAAAUACUUUUUGUCGGAAUCAGAAACCGAUAUUGCGUAAUUUGUGAACGUGCUUCUAAUAAAAAUAUUGAAAAACCGAUACACACAUGCUUCCUGAAUUGGAAACACGGUGCUACGAGUAUCGAAGCGGACGGAGUAGCAGAAGGUUUUACCAAGAGUUUCGAAAUGCAUGGUGUUAAAUAUUCAAAAUUAAUUGGUGACGGUGACAGUAGUGUCACAAAAAGGCUAAAUGAAAUACUACCGUAUGGUCCGAGCCUAAGAGUCGAAAAAAUUGAAUGCAGAAAUCAUAUGCUUAGGAACUAUUCCCAAAAAAUGUCUGCACUCACUAAACGGACAGAAUUUCCUAUUGCGAUAAGAAAAAAAAUUGCUGAUAACCUCGUUAGGCUUAGAACUGAUAUAACAAAAGCUAUACAGUAAAAAUCUGAAGAAAAACCAUUAC